AUCUUUGUACAGUGGCAGUAUUGUAGCCAAUGAGGUUUAUUGGAGGCACGAUUAUUGCUAAUUGAAUAAAUUAGAUU
rnacentral:snRNA from 1 species